UUUUAAAUUUAAAUAACUUCUUUUAACUUCCGAAAUGACAGUUUCCUCUACACUUUUUUUUUAGAGUGUUUGCAGGGUGAGUCCUUUCAUUGGAUAUCAACUACAACAAGAGUAUAAGUGGAAGGGAUGAGAGAUUGAGACGAGUGAAGGAAUUGAAGAAGAGAGCAGAAGAAGAUCGAGUGGAACGAAAAAGAAGAAUUUGAAGUUAUCAAAAAAUGGUGCUACAUUAUCGACAACAAAGCGUGAGAAAAAAAGGAAAGGGCGCUCUUGCCUUCUAUUUCUCCAAUAUUUCUCAAACAACAACAUCAAUUAUAUGCCCCAGUUUAAUUAACAUUCCACUUGCUAUGUCACAUUGACUUUUUCAAUCAAAAAUAUCACAAAGUAUGAGAAGUGAUAUGACUAAUGUGUAAAUAUUCUUUCACUCUUUUUGAAAUGU